rnacentral:rRNA from 1 species
GACGAACGCUGGCGGCGUGCUUAACACAUGCAAGUCGAACGGAAAGACCCUGCUUUUGUGGGGUGCUCGAGUGGCGAACGGGUGAGUAACACGUGAGUAACCUGCCCUUGACUUUGGGAUAACUUCAGGAAACUGGGGCUAAUACCGGAUAGGAGCUCCUGCUGCAUGGUGGGGGUUGGAAAGUUUCGGCGGUUGGGGAUGGACUCGCGGCUUAUCAGCUUGUUGGUGGGGUAGUGGCUUACCAAGGCUUUGACGGGUAGCCGGCCUGAGAGGGUGACCGGCCAAACUGGGACUGAGAUACGGCCCAGACUACUACGGGAGGCAGCAGUGGGGAAUAGUGUACAAUGGGCGGAAGCCUGAUGCAGCAACGCCGCGUGCGGGAUGACGGCCUUCGGGUUGUAAACCGCUUUCGCCUGUGACGAAGCGUGAGUGACGGUAAUGGGUAAAGAAGCACCGGCUAACUACGUG